rnacentral:lncRNA from 1 species
GGGGAUCGGGUGGUUGGGGGGUCGGGUGGAAUAGGAUUUGGCCCCCAGCGGGGCGGGGCGGGGCAAGGGAGUCCCGGUACAGCCGGGUGCCUGGUGCCCCUAACCUGAGCUCCCACCCUAGGACGUGCAAGGGGGCGGAUAGGGGGCGGCGGGGCAUUAGGAGGGGGGGAGAGGUAAUGGGGGGGUUCAUUGAGUGGCAGUGGGCGGCGGUGGUUAGUGAUGAGGGCUGGUGAAUGGGUGGGAAGGGUAGGGGAGCCAGCGGUGUUAGACGAGUGUGUCAGUCCGUCCGUCAGUCGGUCGUGAUCGGGCGAGUGUAGCGGGCAAUGAGCCCCUCCCCCGUGGGCCGUGUAGCUUCCGCCGUACCGCCCGCUCUAAGCCCUGAUGGGGAGGGGGUGUCUGGCUGCCCGGGCCCUGUGCAGGUGUCCCCUCGCUGCUGGUUCAGAAGUGGAACGCCCUCAAGCCCCGGCUGCAGGAGGCGGCUCUGGCGCCCUUCAGGAAUGCCACCCUAAGACUUUCUGUCAAGGUACGGAGGCGCCCGUUGGGGGCGGGGGCGGGGGCGGGGGCGGGGAGCUGACGGAGGGGGCUGAGUGCUNGCAGGCUGGGUGGCCGUUGUGUGGGUGGGGCCGUGCAAAGGUAGGGAUGCGGGCGCAUGUGACCACCAUGAGCGCCGUCCGCCGGUGGCUUCACCCCUUCACCCCGUUACCCCACAACACCCGGGGCUCCCGAUUCCUCCUGCCCUAUGUACGGCACUGCAGGACGAGACCACCAUAGCCCCGGCGUUAGUGCGGGUGGCCUCCAGCCACGGUCUGGAUGUGGCGGUGGGGUCGUACCCGGUGGACCAGGGGAUCAUCAUCACACUGGGUGAGGGGGUGAGGGGGGUGAGGGGGGAGUUCUGGUGCUUCCCUGGCUAGACACACUCCUGCAGCUUCCAGACCGUGCGCACACGACCCUAGGGUGGCGGUACUCCUCCCCCCUCGCUGGCCUUGCCCUCGGGUCCUAGCUUGACCCCUUUGCUCUGCUGCACAUGGUCUGAUUUCAUAUUUCACUCCAAUCGGCUAGAUCCCCACCUUGCCGUCGCCUCACCUCGGCCAUGUUUUCAGUCCAUAUUGUUUUCACAUAACGCGUCACUUCCUGAUUAGCUGAUUUCCCGUUAGCCAUUAGCACACGUCAUCAGUGUGGAGUUAUUCGACCUACGUUAUUUACGUUGGGUUGUUGCGGUUGUCCUCCGCCUCCUGUCCCGAAUCGCAGACAGCAAAAACUCCGAGAAGCUGGAGGCGGCCAUUGCAGAGAUCCAGCAGCUGCUGCCCGGGGAGGCGGUGGUGGCGCUGGAGAGGGAUGUGGACUCCCUGGCGUGAGGGGGAGGAGGGGGGCAAGCGGUGGGGGAGGGGGGAGGGGCAGCGGAGGGAGGGAGAAGGGGAGGAGAAGGGGAGGGAGAGGGGAGACUGGCAGUCGGGUGCGGCUAGGGAGGCAGUACGGCGGCGUGCAGGUCCUUGUAUGCUGUAUUGCGCGGGGGUGCUGGUGGUGGUGGUGGUGGUGCUUUUUGGUGUUCCUAUGCUGCUGCUGGUACUCGGUGAAGCAUCUCGUGCAGCCGAGUAGCCACUUACCGGCUGCCGGGCCGCUGAAAGCUGAGGCAUGGGGCUGGUGAGACUCUCCGCUGGAUACCGAUGUGCCAACAUCAUGCGAGUCCUAAAGCCCCCCCUCCCCAACAGCCAGCUUAGUGCGUGGGGACUAGGUAGGGCCUAGGGUGGACGGGGUAUGAGGGUCCUUCGUUCGGCGCACGUUGCCACUUAGGCGGUGGCAUGGGAGAGAGAGAGGUCAAGGAGUCAAGGGCAGUGGGAUAUGCGGCCCGGCCUGUUGGCCUGCUGGUUUCGGACUGUUGAGUGCCGCUGCUGGGAGCCCAAGGGCUGUAGGAGGAGGUGAAGGGAGUCCGAAGUGCUGCACUGCACGGAAUCGCAAGCACGCGAGACCCCCCGGCAACUCUACCAGGCUGGUAUCGUGUUUCGCAACAACAUAUUGGACAGAUUGACGUUUGAACACGUCUGACUUAACAGCAGCUGGAGGAGAGAAGCACGUGAUAAAGAUAGAAUUCACAAAAGCCAGUUCGCUUCCUUAUCAUUUCGAAACUUUAGACGUUCAGAUCUCUUGGUUUGCCGAACAGCCAAAUUGGUCUCUAAUUCCGUUGCUUGUAGGUUGGUCGUUGAGAAGCUAAUCCGUUUUCAGCAUUCCGGUUCGCUCCGCACUUCGCUUUGGUCGGAAAUGGCCCUUGCGAAACUCCGACACUGCAAUUACGAGAACUUGGUGUCAUUUUUUAGCAGACCAGUCUACUACGAGUUUAAGUAUGCGGUGCCUGAAAGCUCACCUUUGCACAGAAAUAAAGUUGCGUAAAGGACAUGAGGUUCACUAAAUGGCCGUUGUGCGAGUAGGCUAUCUGCUAAUCCAGGCAAACGUCGGUUGUUCUCAUGGCAGCUCAGGAAUGUCCCUCGCGCCGUACAAAGGGCAAUCCCAAACUAAGGCAUCAUCAACUAAGACAUAUUACUAGCUACAAUUACUGGCAGUUUUGUCGCCCGCGGCGAACCUGCGCAUCGCGAGCUGACCAUCCCGUGCCACCUUCUCCGCCGUGCCUGGGCCUGAGCUGCGCUACCUGGAGAAUCGCAAGAGACCAUGGAGCUACCCUCGUCCAAUGCAACGGCUCGGGGUCCGUUGGUGGCCAGCCUGCAGCUGUCCUUGACACGGCCGUACAAAAGUCCCCGGGCGUUCAGCACCUUUCCUGGGUUGGCUUGCAGGCGGAAGAGAUGCCCGCGGAUAUGGACCCAAGCUCGGUAAGGGAAGCAGCUCCUUGCAGACCGGCGUUGGGUCGUGAGGUGGACAGCUGGUGUAGAGUCCGGUAACUGUUGGAGGGGAGUGGCCAAGCUUGAAG